rnacentral:lncRNA from 1 species
AAACAAAGACAGCAUUAGAUUAAUUGUAGAGCUUUUAAUUCAACAACCAUCUCAUGCAUCAUGCAUCAUGCAUAUUCAUACUCCACCAACAUCCAUCCAUCCAUCCACCCAUAUCUACACUAUCCAUUCAACAACAACAUUCACUUUCCUCAAAACAUAAACAUGUCCUACAUUUAACACAUAUUGGAAGCCAGCAUGAUGCUCACACCAUCAUCAUAUCUUCUUAAUUAUUCCCCAUAUCAUCAUCACCAUCAUCAUGAAAGGAUUCUUCAAUGGCGUUUGUUGGCAACAUUGCAUUGCUUUCUGAUCUCACCUUCAUUACCCGUGAGUGGAUUGUUCUCAGUAAGAACAGUAAUGGCUCUUCCAAAAUGCUUAAAGAAAUAAUCUUGAUUCUUUGCCAUUUUCUUCACAUAUGGUUUAGUUCUCUUGUCUGUAGCUAACUGAUGAUCCACAAUCAACAAACCCUUGUUGUCCAAUAUGUUUCUGUAGUAGUUGUUGUCUAGUUUCAUAGGGGUACCACGGUCAUUUCUCACAUACUGAACUGCCUUGGGGUCAGGGAUCGCAUCCGGACACUUAUGGAGCAUGUGCUCAACAUGACCCGGGUCAAGAACCGGGUCAACCUCUGGAUACAAACGGUGCACCAACUUCACACAGUGUGUCCUACCCACGCUAUGAGAACCUGUUUCAAGAAAACCACCAUUAAUUAGGGUAUGCACUAACAUUUCAUUUACAGUAUCAUGAUGCAUGAUGCAUGAUGGAUGAUGAUGAUGAUAGACAUAUAUACCUAGUAAAGCAACAACACCAGGGGUGUCGAUGCCGAUGUUCUUGAACCUUUCAAGAACAACAGUCAUGGAUUCAUUAUGAUCUGGGAGGUAUUGCUCCAAUAUAUCAGCUCUGCUCUUCCUGCCAUCUCUUCUUCCUGUUUUUAGUGGGAUGUAUGGCCCUCCAAGCUGCCAUUAUUAAAAAAAGAGAGAACAAAUUAGACAGAAAAAUGAUACUUUUUUUUAGUAAAUUGAUUCGGAUAAUUAUAUGAUGAUGAAAAUAAUAUUGGUUAUGUAAUCAGAGACUAAAAACGCAAAGAUUACGUGGGUUUUAGUUAAUAGUCCAAGGAAGAUGACUUUAUAAAAGGUUAUCUCCUUUUUCCUAUGUGAUAGAUCUUUAUUAAUUAUAAAAAUGGGAAGAGACUAUAAUUCAUCACAUCCGACAAGUAUUGAUCUAUAUUUGUGCUUAAAACUCUACGAAAAAGUGGACCUUUUGGCUUUUGCAACACCAAGUACAAGGCUACAAGCAAAGUCUUAUUUUUUUAUUCAUAUCUUUCUGCCGAAUAUAUAUACAAUUGAAGUAACAAUAAAUGAUAAGUUUAUGGAUUGAAUGAAAAAUGUCCAACUGCCUUUUCUUAUCUGUUUUGAAUAAGAUUUUUUUUAAUUAGAUAAAAAAAUACGUGACAUAAAUGCUUAAAUAUAAAAUAUAUAACAAAUUUAUAGAAAGAUAGGAGUUCAUUCCUUAUAUUAAUCCUAUAUUUUCCUUUACGGAUUAAAGUAAAAAAGAAACCGUUUACAUAUAUAUGGCUUCCUAAAUUACCUCAAUAUUUGUUUAAGUAAAAAAAAAAUUAAAAAAAAAAAUCAAACAAGUGCAAACAUGUGAUGUUCAACAGAAAACAAGCCAAAAACAAGAAAAAUCAUAAAUAAAAGAAAUAAAACGUGGAAUUUACGCAAUGAUUUAAAUGUAUUUUUGGGUGAAAAUUUUCUAUUUAUAAAUUUAUACAACUUUUUUUUUUCUUAUAUAAUUUAAUAUUCAUCGACUACAGAGAUUGAAGUGAAGUAAACGACCAUCUCUCUUAUCACCUGUACUUGAAAAGAUAAGCAGCAAAGUACAACUAACUAAUGCAAGUUGAUCAAAUCACCUCUCCACAUCAAGAUAUAUUUCUUGCAGGGAUGACUUAGAGUACAACAAAGUAAUGCAUGUAGUAAAGAAUCCUCAUCAAGAAAAAAAUAAAGCUUGGAUCUUUUGAAAGAGUAAGAAGAAAAAAAGUACAAGCAACUUAUGCAUGCAGAAAUGAACCCAGUGGAGAUAAAGCUUGUAUCUUUAAAAAGAAUGGAAAUGUUUAAGAAGAAGAAUAGAAGAAUCUGAAUUUACCGCAACAAUUCCAUCUCUUCCAGAAAGUACAAGUAUAUCUGCACAAGAUACAACUCCAGGACACUCCCUUUCCAAAGCUUCCUUGAUAGUUUCAAGAUACCUGAAAUUUCUAAGUCCGAAGCUCCGGUCUGUCUCUUUCUCAGACAGUGUUCUCCUUGUUGAGUCCAAAAGCAAUGAAGCAUCACAUGACUGUAACAUAUAUAGCAAAACAAUAGUUGUAAAAUCUGCAUCAAAACUUGUACUCUCUUUAUAUAUAUAUAUAUANNNNNNNNNNNNNNNNNNNNNNNNNNNNNNNNNNNNNNNNNNNNUAUAUAUAUAUAUAGAUAGAUCAUGAGUGUUGUGAACUAUGUGCAUUAAGAGUUGUACCUCAACACCACAGUCAUGGAAGAUGUUUCUGAGCCAAGAGAAAGCAGUGUUCUUGUGGCGUUUGUAAAGAAGCAUGACUUGUUCUUUAAUGAUAUCUUCAGCUUGUGGGCAUGAAUCUCUGUAGAAGUUUAAAAUAAGGCCUGAGUCUGACUCGGUUGACUCAGUGUCUGCAACUGAAGCAAUGGCUAAUAGGGAGAAGAGAGCAAAGAAAAGGAGAGCUUUGGUACCCA